CCAGCAGCCGCGGUAAUUCCAGCUCCAAUAGCGUAUAUUAAUGUUGUCGCAGUUAAAAAGCUCGUAGUCGGAUCUCGGAUCCGGGCGAGCGGUCCGCCUCGCGGCGGUUUACUGCUCGAUGGCGACAGUUCGGGGCGGCCGUUUCGGCGGUUCGUCACGGCUGGCGUCGUUCCCGGUCUCUCACCCUCUGGACGCCCGUCGGUGCUCUUGACUGCAGUGCCGGCGGCGGCCAGGACGUUUACUUUGAAAAAAUUAGAGUGUUCCAAGCCGGCGCGUUCCGCCCGAAUAAUGGUGCAUGGAAUAAUGGAAUAGGACCUCGGUUCUAUUUUGUUGGUUUUCGGAACUAGAGGUAAUGAUUAAGAGGGACAGACGGGGGCAUUCGUAUUGCGGUGUAGAGGUGAAAUUCUGGGAUCGCCGCAAGACGAACUACUGCGAAAGCA
rnacentral:rRNA from 1 species